GACGAACGCUGGCGGCGUGCUUAACACAUGCAAGUCGAACGGUGAAGCGCCUUCCUUUUUGGUUGGUGUGGAUGAGUGGCGAACGGGUGAGUAACACGUGAGUAACCUGCCCCCUUCUUCUGGAUAACCGCAUGAAAGUGUGGCUAAUACGGGAUAUUCUGGUUCUGUCGCAUGAUGGGUCUGGGUAAGAUAUUGUUUCUGUGGGGGAUGGGCUCGCGGCCUAUCAGCUUGUUGGUGUGGUGAUGGCCUACCAAGGCGGUGACGGGUAGCCGGCCUGAGGGGGUGGACGGUCACACUGGGACUGAGACACGACCCGGACUCCGACAGGAGGCAGAAGUGGGGAAUAUUGCACAGUGGGCGCAAGCGUGAUGCAGCGACGCCGCGUGAGGGAUGGAGGCCUGCGGGUUGUGAACCUCUUUCGCCAGUGAAGCAGGCCUGCCUCGUUUGUGGGUGGGUUGACGGUAGCUGGAUAGGAAGCGCCGGCUAACUACGUG
rnacentral:rRNA from 1 species